CUCAAUUUCCACUGACGUUACCUGAGAAUUGGUACUUCUUCUCCCAAGUGAGUGACUUAUGCAAGAGUACCAGACAGUACGGUACUAUGGCGGGGAGAACGCCGCUAUAACUGUUAACUAUGCCACUGUUGAAGCUCCACGGCUAUAAACUGCAGACUAUAGGACUUUAGCCAUCUGUUAUUGGACUUCAUGUUUUAUUGUUCAUUACUGCAUACCUUCUUUGUUUUGCAGGUAUCUCGUAUUUAUGGUCUACACACCAGUAUUAUUUCCAAUGUUUUCUUCACUUACAGGUUCAAGUUGGACCUUUUAGACAUUUGGACUUAUCUUUAUAUAUAUAUAUAUAUAUAAUAGGCUUUGAAAUCUAAAGAUUUCAGGCGGGGAGUGUCAUGUUACAUGAUAUUGUUUUAUUAUAAUGUACUGUUUCUUUAAUGUUCAUCUUAAGUUUGUCCCUUGGGCCACUCCAUAGUUUGCAUGCUGCUCCAGGUACUCCCCUCCCCUUUUUUCUGUUCUAGUGUAUUCUAUGCUGUACAUUCAUAUGUGACUUGUUUCUCUGCUAUCCUGUAUGGAAGAAUUGUUCUUUUACCUGUCGUAACUGCACAUUCUACAGAUCAUAUGACGAAUAAAC